rnacentral:lncRNA from 10 species
AUGGUUGGUUAUGGUGGUGUCCGCUGAUUGGGUCCACCUGACCUCGGCCCCGGUGGAAGUUAUCGGGUGGCAGCAGAGUUGGAAUGGGAUAGGUAGUUCCCCGUUUCCAGGACCCCAGACGGCCUGCUGGGACAGUGUAUAUGAGUCCGGAAUGGGCUGGACCAGGGUCAGGCUAGCCCAGACUUCAGGUACGGGCUGUGAUGACGAGGAGUGGGCUAGUCUCCCGGGUCGGUCACCGCUGAACUCUCAGGAGGAAGCACUCAAUUGAACAAGUGCAGGAACCAGCUGGCUGCCUCAGCACUGACAGAAGCAAAUUCCAUUUGCUUGGACCCACUGCAUUCCAUCCCUUGUGGAAGAGAGCAUGUAAGCAAGACAGGACCUUCAGGCCUCUGAAAAAAAAAGGAUCAAAGAACUGAAACUCACCAGAUCACCUCACCAGAUGCUGGACCCCUCAUUCACCAUGUUUGCUUCCUUGCCUCUCCCUAGUUCUUAUUUUCUUACACAUUGUUACAUUUCUUCCCUGCUAUAUCAACCCCUAGUUCUAGUCAGUCAUGGAGAUGGAUUUGAGACUGAUCUCCCAUCCCCUCAGCUACACCACCUGAUUAAAGCCUUCUUCCUUGGCAAUAAUCAUUGUCUCAGUCAUUGGCUUUCUGUGCAGGGAGCAGCAGGACCUAGACUAAACCCCUGGUGUUUUGGUAACAAAAUAAGGCCAGGCACAGAAAGACAAACAUCACAUGUUCACACUUAUUUGUGGGAUCUAAAUACCAGAACAAUUGAACUCAUAGAGAUAGAGAGUAGAAGGAUUAUUACCAGAGGCUGGGAAGUGUGGUUGAAGGAGUUGGUGGGCAGUGGGGAUGUAGAAUGUGUCCAAAAAAAGGAAUAGAAUGAAGAAGUCCUAGUAUUUGAUAGCACAACAGGGUGACUAUAGUCAAUAAUCAUUUAACUGUACAUUUUAAAAUAACUUAAAAGGUGUAAUUGGGUUGUUUGUAACACAAAUGAUAAAUGCUUGAAGGAAUUGCUACUCCAUUUUCCAUGAUGUGAUUAUUGUGCAUUGCAUGCCUGUAUCAAAAUGCCUCAUGUACCUCAUAAAUAUAUAUACCUACUAUGUACCCACAAAAAUUUUUUAAGAAAAUAUACCACUGCUUUUCCAUUUGUCAAGUGAAAAAC